GGUGUGAUAAAGGGCUCAUAAAAGCAGAAUAUCCCCUGGUCUUACAGGAAAAGAAGAAAGUCAUCAUUGACAGCCUCUCAGUGUUUCCAGCAGCUGCUCGUCAUCCAAAAGACGUCUUUCAAGACAGACCGACACUCUGAGACGAUGCAACUGAAUCUUCCCGUCCUCGUUCUUUGCCUUCUUGGCACAGCGAUCCCGUGUGGAGGGCAGUCUACCACCAUCAAUCCCUUAAAUUCAACAUCUACGGAUGUAAAUUCCACGAUACCAGGUCCAUCCAGCACUGGUCCAUC